rnacentral:rRNA from 1 species
UACGGGGGGAGUAAGCGUUGUUCGGAUUUACUGGGCGUAAAGUGUGCGCAGGCGGCCGCGCAAGUCGAGUGUGAAAUCCCCGAGCUUAACUUGGGAAUUGCGCUCGAAACUACGUGGCUGGAGUGUGGCAGAGGAAGGUGGAAUUCCACGUGUAGCGGUGAAAUGCGUAGAGAUGUGGAGGAACACCGAUGGCGAAGGCAGCCUUCUGGGCCAACACUGACGCUCAUGCACGAAAGCGUGGGGAGCAAACAGG